rnacentral:ncRNA from 2 species
GCCUUAUCAAGAGUGGUGGAGGGAACGGCCCUAUGAAGCCCGGCAACCUGCGCAGACGCGCAAGGUGCUAAAUCCGGCGGUAGUGUAUCGAAAGAUGAGGG